rnacentral:rRNA from 1 species
AUGAACGCUAGCUACAGGCUUAACACAUGCAAGUCGAGGGGCAGCAUGAACUUAGCUUGCUAAGUUUGAUGGCGACCGGCGCACGGGUGAGUAACACGUAUCCAACCUGCCGAUGACUCGGGGAUAGCCUUUCGAAAGAAAGAUUAAUACCCGAUGGCAUAGUUCUUCCGCAUGGUAGAACUAUUAAAGAAUUUCGGUCAUCGAUGGGGAUGCGUUCCAUUAGGUUGUUGGCGGGGUAACGGCCCACCAAGCCUUCGAUGGAUAGGGGUUCUGAGAGGAAGGUCCCCCACAUUGGAACUGAGACACGGUCCAAACUCCUACGGGAGGCAGCAGUGAGGAAUAUUGGUCAAUGGACGAGAGUCUGAACCAGCCAAGUAGCGUGAAGGAUGACUGCCCUAUGGGUUGUAAACUUCUUUUAUACGGGAAUAAAGUGAGGCACGUGUGCCUUUUUGUAUGUACCGUAUGAAUAAGGAUCGGCUAACUCCGUGCCAGCAGCCGCGGUAAUACGGAGGAUCCGAGCGUUAUCCGGAUUUAUUGGGUUUAAAGGGAGCGUAGGCGGACGCUUAAGUCAGUUGUGAAAGUUUGCGGCUCAACCGUAAAAUUGCAGUUGAUACUGGGUGUCUUGAGUACAGUAGAGGCAGGCGGAAUUCGUGGUGUAGCGGUGAAAUGCUUAGAUAUCACGAAGAACUCCGAUUGCGAAGGCAGCCUGCUGGACUGUAACUGACGCUGAUGCUCGAAAGUGUGGGUAUCAAACAGGAUUAGAUACCCUGGUAGUCCACACAGUAAACGAUGAAUACUCGCUGUUUGCGAUAUACAGUAAGCGGCCAAGCGAAAGCGUUAAGUAUUCCACCUGGGGAGUACGCCGGCAACGGUGAAACUCAAAGGAAUUGACGGGGGCCCGCACAAGCGGUGGAGCAUGUGGUUUAAUUCGAUGCAACGCGAAGAACCUUACCUGGUCUUGACAUCGUAUGCAUAGCUCAGAGAUGAGUGAAAUCUCUUCGGAGACAUAUAGACAGGUGGUGCAUGGUUGUCGUCAGCUCGUGCCGUGAGGUGUCGGCUUAAGUGCCAUAACGAGCGCAACCCUUAUCGAUAGUUACCAUCAGGUGAUGCUGGGGACUCUGUCGAGACUGCCGUCGUAAGAUGUGAGGAAGGUGGGGAUGACGUCAAAUCAGCACGGCCCUUACGUCCGGGGCUACACACGUGUUACAAUGGGGGGUACAGAAGGCAGCUACACGGCGACGUGAUGCUAAUCCCUAAAGCCUCUCUCAGUUCGGAUUGGAGUCUGCAACCCGACUCCAUGAAGCUGGAUUCGCUAGUAAUCGCGCAUCAGCCACGGCGCGGUGAAUACGUUCCCGGGCCUUGUACACACCGCCCGUCAAGCCAUGAAAGCCGGGGGUACCUGAAGUGCGUAACCGCAAGGAGCGCCCUAGGGUAAAACUGGUGAUUGGGGCU